AGCUGGAUCAUUUUUCCGAUGAGAAAAAAGAACAAUAUCCAACCUGUGAUUUGAUGUGUCCGGGCCGGAGGGGGUUUCACCACCACCUCCUUAACGGGCAUUCUUUUUCACGCACAACAUCACCCGUACGGAAAGUGAAAACCUUUUGGGCUUGGCUUCGGCCUUGUCUAUUUGUGUCUCUCUUCCCCGUGCGCUUGCCGCAACAUUUAGGGCAGAAAUGCCAUGUUGUCUUGGCUUUCACAACGUGUCGCGAUGGAUGACUUGGCUUCCCAUUUCGUUGAAGAACGCAGCAAGGUGCGAUAACUGGUAUCAAUUGCAGAAUUUCACAUUACCGAGUCUUUGAACGCAAAUGGCGCUUGGGAGAAGCACCUCGUGUGUCGAUACCCAAGCAUGCCGUUUCUCAGUGUCGAUACCAAAAUUCCCGCCAACCCACAUUUCGGUCCCCUCACCGGGGUCGCAAAUUUUGGGUUCCAGCGUUUGGAAUAAUUCAAAACGGUUUCUCGGUUUCGAGGGUUUUCGGGCUCUUUCAGAGUUUCACCGCUCCGAUCGUUAGCCUCCCUCCCCGGGUGUGAUCGCUGUCGUCAAAACACAGCGGAAACGUAUUUGAACGAAAAAAAUUCAAACAUUGAAGAAUCAAAAAAACCUUAACACCGUUUUUCUUCACAGACCUGAGAGCGGCAGGACCACCCGCCGAACUUAAGCAUAUUACUCAGCGGAGGAAAAGAAAACAACCGUGAUUCCCUCAGUCAGCGGCGAGCGAAGAGGGACCAAACUCAAUGCCGAAUCGGGGAGAAAGACCCUUGAGUUGUGGCAUUCGUGACCGAUGGUCGACGAGGAACUGGCAAAAUUCAAAAUCGUAAAGCAAACCCAUUGCUGAAAACAACCCUUCAUGUGAGUAUUGAGCCCCAGAAGGUGUCAGCCCAUUUGUUGCCAGAAAUCCAGCGGAGGCCGGAGGUUUCACAAGUGAGUAGCACUGCUUGGGAGUGCAGUGUUAAGCGGCAGGUAUUUGCCUGCCAAGGUUAAAUACAGAGUGGGAAGACCGAUAGCAAACAAGUAGCGUGAGCGAAAGUUUGAAAAGUACUUUGGAAAGAGAGUGACAUAGCACCUGAAGUCGCGACAACGAUAAUGGAAGUAUCUCCAUUUUAUUGCCAAAACCAGCCCUGUGGCAUUCGAUCUUCCGCGGACAUUCAAAAACGCUGCGGAUGUGCAACUCAAGUGCAAAAGCGGGGUGUGGUGAAACGAGAGGGGUUGGAAAGUGGUUGUCACUGCCGCGGCGUGUUUUCAUUGGCCAAAAGCCCACGCCGCGACCAGCAAUUCAGCUACUUCCCCUGGAAUGACUCGAUGUUGGCAAACACUCAGUGGAAAUGGGAUACUUCCACCCGUCUUGAAACACGGACCAAGGAGUCAAACAGACACGCAAGGGAGAAGACGAACAGAUAAAACGCUUCUCUCGUACUGAAAGGGUGGGACUUGUUCCCCGUGGUGUGCACUUUCAACAUGGCCCAACACCGACCGGCCCUCAUGUGGGGUUGAGUUCGAGUGUGCCUGUUUGGACCCGAAAGGUGGUGAACUAUGCCUGAACAAGGUGAAGCCGGGGGAAACCCAGGUGGAGGCCUGUAGCGAUGCUGACGUGCAAAUCGCUCGCACGAUUUGGGUAUCGGAGCGAAAGACUCAUCGAACCACCUAGUAGCUGGUUCACAU
rnacentral:misc_RNA from 1 species